UGGGCAACCUGCCCCUCUCUCUGGGAUAACCCCCGGGGAAACCGGAGCUAAUACCGGAUACUCCGGCUGGAUCGCAUGGUCCGGCUGGGAAAGGUCCGCCGGAGAGGGAUGGGCCCGCGGCCUAUCAGCUUGUUGGUGAGGUAACGGCUCACCAAGGCGUCGGACGGGUAGCUGGUCUGAGAGGACGACCAGCCACACUGGAACUGAGAUACGGUCCAGACUCCGUACGGGAGGCA
rnacentral:rRNA from 1 species